rnacentral:rRNA from 1 species
UUGACCGUGCCGAAGGUAGCAUAAUCACUAGUCUCUUAAUUGGGGACUUGUAUGAAGGAUUCGACGAAAGAUUAACUGUAUUAUCUAUAAAAUUUAAUUUACAUUUCUAGUAAAAAUGCUAGAACAUUUUAGAAAGACGAUAAGACCCUAAAAGCUUUAUUAGAUCACUAAUUUUACUGGGGCGGUAAUUAUUUUUAAAAACAAUAAAAUUUAUAACAUCUUGAAUGAUUUUUCGAAACUCUUAUAAACUUAAACUAAAGCUACUUUAGGGAUAACAGCACAAUUAUUUUUUAGAGUUCUUAUCGACAAAAUUUUAUGUGACCUCGAUGUUGAAUUGGAAGAGUUAUUAUAAGCAGAAAUAUAAUAAACUAGUCUGUUCGACUAUUAAUUUUCCACAUGAUCUGAGUUCAAACCGGAUU